GAGUCGGACAAUGAAUAGAGUGUAAUCCUUAUUAUAAGCCCAUUCAAGGCCUGUUUUAGUCCAUCAAAUGGUUUUUUCACCUUGAUAAAAUAAAUCAUUACGCAUUAAAGAAAAUAUGGACUGUUGACACGGUAAUUUGUUUUCCCGUUGUGAUCAAUUAAUUCUUUUUUUCUUAUUGGACAAAAGGAAAUAUAGUUGUCACAAGUCACAAUGCAUGAUUGAUUGUUACCCAGUGAGAAAAAUAAGACCGUUACACAGUAGGAAAACUUAUUACCGUUUGCUGCAUUAAUAAUUACACGGCCCAAUGUUGCGUACUGUUGUCCCUAUUUAAAAUCGCCUAGAAACGGCGCUUUAUUAUAGAACUAAAACUGGUUUAACACACCAACCCAGUGAUAAAGCUCAUGGUUUAACCUCAAACUUUCUUUCUCUUCCUCUACUUUACUCCAGUUUCUGUAACAACAAGAUGAGCUCAACCAUCACCCAGCUGACUCUCUGGUGCCAAUCUUUGCUUCAUUUAGAUUCGAUAUGAGGAGUGAAUACUGGAAAAUCAUACAGAGAUCAGUCAAAUUCGUUGUGAGUUAUUUCCUGUUUUUAUUUGGUGUUUAUAUGAAAUGUUACAUGUUUACUUACACGAAGCUUCGAUGAUUGUUUGAAAUUAGGUUGCUUGUGAUGGUAGUAGAGGAACAGAGCAAGUGAAAGCAGAAAGGAGUGAAGAUUGUGAUCGAUCUUAUAUAUGUUCUUCUCGCUUGUCUCCGACUCCCUCCCUUGUGACAGUGGUGAGUCCCUCUUAGUAUAUAUGUUCUCUUUAUAAUAAUUGUUGUUUCUUCUCGAGCAAAGCGAUCAUAGUCACUAAACUCUCUUCCCUUCAUCUCAGAGCCUAUCGAUAUGAGGGAACCCUCUCAUUUCAUGUCAAAGAACGACAUCCGAUCCAGUCACCCGGCGAAGAAAACGACAAAGAGUCGCCUGAGAAUAGGAUGAGCUUCUUCGAGAUAUAUCUUCUUCAUCAACAAGUCUUGGCCCAAGAACAUAUGCGCUUUGGAACAAGGCCUCUCAGGUUUUCUUUUUUGAAAACCCAUUUUUUCAAUUUUUUUUUCAUUUUAAAGCUAAGUUCCAAAUAUUUUCACAAAUAUAUAUAUUACCAUAUAAAAUAUUUUUAAAUUUAAAUUUAAAAUUUUAUUAUUUUCACAAAUAAAAAUAAAAACCACACAAAAUGUUUUAAGUUUACAAAUUUUAAAUUUUACAAAAAUUAUUAUUAUUAUAUUAAAUAAUAUAUUUUCAUGUUGGAAAAAUACAUGGUGCAAAAACUUCGGUUUGUUGAAAACAAACCAAGCUAUUUGCAUCCGAUCCGUAUGGUCUCCAUAUGGUUCGUAAGUGGUGUGGAUGUUUAACAUGUUUUUUCGUAUUGUGAAUGAGUUUUAAUAUGUCGAAAACAAACCAAGCUGAAGCAUCCGGUCCUUAUUGGUCUUCCUUAUGGUCCGUCAGUGAUGUAGAUGUUUAACAAAACAUCAGCAUCCAGUCCUUUAUAUAAGGUCUUCCGUAUGGUCAGUUGGCGGUGUAGAUGUUUAACAUGUUUUCUUCGUAUUGUGAAUGAAUUUCAAUAUGUUAAAAAACAGACCAAGUGUUUGCACCUAGUCUUUUCUAAAAUGAAAAUAUAUUGUUUAGUUAAUGAUAAUAAUUUUAAUAAAAUCUAAAAUUUGUGUAAUCUUAAAACAUUUUGUAUUGUUUAUAUUUUAUUUGGGAAAUUAAUUAAAAUUUAAUUUUAAAUAUAAAAAUAUUUUGUAUGGUAAUUGCUUAUUUGCGAAAAUAUAUAGAAUUUUGCUUUAAAAUCCAAAAAAAUACAUUGAAUUAAACUAUCAAAGAGAUAACCUUUUCUUGUGUGUGUGGUGUGUUUUGUUGAUUUGAUUUCACUCACAACCGGCUGGGAGAUUGUGAAAAAUGAAGUAUGAGGAGUACAUGCAAGAACAGAAGGAGAAGAAGAAUCUACCUGGUGUUGGCUUCAGGAAACUCAAGAAGAUUCUGAAGAAGUGCAGAAGAAGAGAUCAUGUUACUUCUCAGAUUGCUUUAAACGAAGCAAUCACUCAUCAACGUGGCAACAACUGUCCUCGUGAAUGCAAAGGUUGCUGUUCCCCUGUUAGGUCCCAUUCUCCUUCUUCUUCUGGUUUUGAGAAUGUUUUAAUCUUUUUUGGCAUGCAGUUUGUGAUGGAAUUUUUUUUGGCAUGCAGUUUGUGAUGGAAUCUUUAUUGGCAUGCAGUUAACGAGAAUGCUCAGAAGCUUCUUGAGUUACAUUUAGCUUCUAGUUUCAAAAAAUGUCUUACUUGGUUCAAAGGCAAAACGAGCCAAGACUUGGUUAACUACGCACUUCAAAAGGCUAUGGGUUCGAGCUGAUCUUGCUCGAAAUGGUAUCUUCGACUAUGAAAAACUUAAGAGAACUUGGAACGUGAAGAUGGUGGAUGAAUCUGAAAAGUGCAAAGAGAGUGUGAUGGAGAGUAAGAAAGAAGAAGCGAUUGGAUUGAAACUGAAGAAAGCGGUUUUGUUUCCGCAAGAAACAGAGAAAGGAUUGUGGCCGGCUCUUGUAUAAUUUAAAAGGAGCAACGAGAUAUUUUCACCAUAAAGCUUACAAACCAUUCUUGAGAUAAAUCAUUCUAAACUUUGGUAGCAGCAUCACUCUGUUUUGUGAAACUAAAAUAAUAAUAUGCUUUUUGAUUAAA